ensembl:misc_RNA Y_RNA Y RNA
GAUUGGUCAGAGUGUAGUCAUGUUUAAUGUUUACAGCUAUUAAUAAUUGAUUACAACCAGUUAGGAAUUCCUUUUCCUUCUCUACUCUCAACUGCUUCUCUUGACUAGCCUUUA